rnacentral:sRNA from 1 species
GUCGGCUGAUCGGAGACCCUGUGGUCAGGAUCCUGAACAGCCCCCCCAGCCCCCAGAUCGCGGGCCGGUCAGCCGACAAACUUGAAGUAUCCCCCUCCCCCAACGAGCCCGUGCGGAUCCCCUCCCGCGCGGGCU